rfam:Pteropus alecto contig102667, whole genome shotgun sequence.
GGUUCCAUAGAGUAGUGGUUAGCACGUCUGCUUUACACGCAGAAAGUCCUGAGUUUGAGCCCCCGUGGAGCCA